UCCAGCAGGCUCUGGCUCAGCUGGUAGAGCAAUAGACUCUUAAUCUCGGGGCUGUGGGUUCGAGCCCCACUUUGGGGAA